UUUCUCCCAAAUUUGCCCUAAACCAGGACAAGGGAUCAGAGCAUGCUAUAGAAUAGGAAUUAUCAAAUUAUAGAUUACAACUUUCCAGAAGCAAUCUCUGAGGUGUCAACAUAUUUUACAAUCUUCUGGGGUCUUUCGAUGGCAGCACUGAAUAUUAACAAUCUGCUUGUCUAUUUUCCUUAUAGGCAACAAAUCUGCUUUCAUUUUGCUGAAACAGGGCUAUGACAAAAGCGAUUACAAGAGCUGCAUCACUUAAUUUUGAUGAGCUCUUCCAUCAAGCUGCACAGGACUUCAUCUGCUUGGGAGAUGUGAUUCCUGAAGGUGGACGCUGAUGGAGAGAAGGAAGAAUAAGCUGUUGGUUUUACAGCUCCUUGCAGUGAAAAUGAAUCAGUAAUAAGAAUCUGUUUCUGGAAACAGAACAGAACUUCGGCUGACACUUUCCCAAAGAACUCAACCAUUUCCAACCACUGGGAGAUAUGGCAGGGAGGACAGGGGCCAAGUGCAUGGCAAGUUCAGUUCUUGUUUGGUAACUGCCAAGUUGCUCCAAACGCAGCUCUUGAAAACUAAUCUGGAAGGAAUUUUCCUGUAAUGGUGACUCAUGUUUUUAUGGAAUUGUUUUUGCAAUUCUGAUUUCUCAGAUGGUCUUAAAAGUAACUAUAGUCUUAGUGUCAUUUGGUUCUGCAGGAACACACAUAGAACAUAACACGGAAAAAAUUAAAUGGGAGGUGGCAAAAGCAAUUAUCAAGAUGCAAUGAAGCCACCCUUCCUUCUCCCACUAGCACUGCUGUGCAUAAGCAGGUACUUCCUGUGCAUGGGGAUAGAGAGGACACCUAUCAGUAAGACACGUCACAAGGACUCCUAAACUUGUGACAGAAGAGAGAAAAUGGAAAAGGGGGGAAAUAGAAGGGAAGUGUAUCCUCCUUACACCCUCUUUGUUUUUCAUUGCCUACAAACAAGUCCCUCCCUCUCACAGCAGAGCAGUUCAGCUGUGCUACUCCAUUCCUUCUCAGCUUCCUUCUCCUUUAUACAGGAGUUUAUAAGCCACUGCUCUGCCUCACCAGUCUGAUUUACUUAAUCCAGCUAUGAAAAGCAGGAAAAGCUGUCACAGUCUAUUUGCAUCUCAGAUUCACAUGACAAUGUACUCUGUGAUUUAAGCUUUAUUUCAUGAACUCAUUAAGAAAUUCAACAAGCAAACCUGACAAACUGGGUCUCAACCCCCUUUGAUCCAGACUAGUCUAUCAUGUGAAUUCCCUGAUUCACCAUUCCAAUCUUGAGGUCAGCAACAGCCUGUGCAAGGGUGAGGCAACAGCUCAGGGAUUUCUGUGGCUAUAGCAUUUACUAUAAUAGGACAACAUUUACUGGAAUAGAAUAUUCACAUUUAAUAGAAUAGGAGAAUAUUUAAUAGAAUAAUUGUAUUUCUCAUUUUAUUAGAGGGAGCAAAAAUUAUCUUAUCUUUAAAUCCUACUACGGGGUAAUUUCCGUGUUAAAAUCUAUGAUUUAUGGUUUUUUCCCCCGCAGCACUCUAAUAAAAUUCUGUUUAUAAACAUAAUUAAAUGUCAUAGAUGUAGCUAAUUUAGAAAUACUCUAAAUGUAUGAACCUUUAUAACACUCUAUAUUGUAACUUUAUUGAAAUGCCAUGAUUCAUAGCAGUAAUAAUUUACUUGCUGUUUUUCAAUAUGUUGAUUAACAGAGAGCUAAAUUUGUAACUUCAUAAACAGCAGUGCAGUAAUGUGUAUGCUAGAAA